rnacentral:rRNA from 1 species
GACGAACGCUGGCGGCGUGCCUAAUACAUGCAAGUCGAACGCAGUGGGGACGGGUGAGUAACACGUGGGUAACCUCCCAUCAGAGGGGAUAACACUUGGAAACAGGUGCUAAACCGAUACUGAUGGAUGGACCCGCGGUGCAUUAGCUAGUUGGUGAGGUAACGGCUCACCAAGGCCACGAUGCAUAGCGGACCUGAGGGGGUGGUCGGCCACACUGGAACUGAGAAACGGCCAGGGCUCCUACGGGAGGCAGCAGUAGGGAAUCUGCGGAAAGGGACUAAAGUCUGACCGAGCGACGCCGCGUGAGUGAAGAAGGUUUUCGGAUCGUAAAACUCUGUUGUUGGGGAAGCGGUAUCUAACCAGAAAGCCACGCCUAACUACGUGCCAGCGGCCGCGGUAAUA